rnacentral:rRNA from 1 species
GCCCUUGGAGGAAAGCAGGGAUCGAAAGACCUUGCGCUUAAGGAGCGGCGAUGUCUGAUUAGCUAGUUGGUGGGGUAAAGGCCUACCAAGGCGACGAUCAGUAGUUGGUCUGAGAGGACGACCAACCACACUGGGACUGAGACACGGCCCAGACUCCUACGGGAGGCAGCAGUGGGGAAUUUUGGACAAUGGGCGCAAGCCUGAUCCAGCCAUGCCGCGUGAGUGAAGAAGGCCUUCGGGUUGUAAAGCUCUUUCAGUUGGGAAGAAACGAUUACAACUAAUAAUUGUAAUUAAUGACGGUACCGACAGAAGAAGCACCGGCUAACUACGUGCCAGCAGCCGCGGUAAUACGUAGGGUGCGAGCGUUAAUCGGAAUUACUGGGCGUAAAGGGUGCGCAGGCGGUUUUGUAAGUCAGAUGUGAAAUCCCCGGGCUUAAACUUGGGAAUGGCGUUUG